rnacentral:rRNA from 1 species
UACGAAGGGGGCUAGCGUUGCUCGGAAUCACUGGGCGUAAAGGGUGCGUAGGCGGGCUUUUAAGUCAGGGGUGAAAUCCUGGAGCUCAACUCCAGAACUGCCUUUGAUACUGAAGAUCUUGAGUCCGGGAGAGGUGAGUGGAACUGCGAGUGUAGAGGUAAAAUUCGUAGAUAUUCGCAAGAACACCAGUGGCGAAGGCGGCUCACUGGCCCGGUACUGACGCUGAGGCACGAAAGCGUGGGGAGCAAACAGG